GUCGCGUUCGAUAUGUUUUUUAACGGAACAAAUAUUGAAAGAUAAAGCGAAUCGAUAGUUUAAACUAAGCAGACGUCGUCUUGAGAAAUAUGGGACAUAUACGAAUACGUUCAUAUUUAAUUUUCAGAGGAAACAUUCAUAAUUUGAUCAUGUUUAUUUAAUUUAACUCGGGAUAAGGCAACUAACGGAUCUUAACGUUUUCAUGCAACAUCACGUUGAGCAGCGCAAUUGUUAUAUUCGAUUCUCGACCGAGCACGAUACAUGUUACGUAUAGCGGACAGUUUAUAGUGUGCGAGCCUAUUUGAUCCUAAAUCGGACUUAACGAAGGCAAUAAAAUGAGGAAAACGAAGUUAUUACUUUCAUCGUUACUGUGUGUCUGUUUCCUGUAUUUGUUCGGACAUUGGUUCCUGGGAUUGUGUGGACCCGCCCUUGAUAGGGCGCUUAACGAGAUGCUAAGUCCGCCGAUUGACGUAAACCAAGAUUGCAAGUUUGUGUACGUUGAUUUAGGUAGCAACAAGGGCGUGCAGAUACGGAAGUUGUACGAGCCAUGGCUGUAUCCGGGUGCGGCUAUCAUACCGUUCUUUGACAAGUUAUUUGGAAAAAUAAUCCAAUCUAGCCGUCGUGGGGAUGUGUGUUCGUUUGGAUUUGAGGCUAAUCCACGUCAUAUGGGUCGCCUGAAGCACAUUGAACGUUCAUAUCGACGUAAAGGACUCAAUGUCACGUUUUACAAUAACGCCGUUUCAAACAGAACUGGAGAUAUUGUGACCAUAUAUUCGGACACGAAUUUUGACAUCGACUGGGGCGCUGGCAUUCUGGAUACGGCCAUUGAUAACAAAAAUAAUAUGACAGAAUAUAAAGUCCAAACCAUCGAUAUUGUUCACUUCAUUCGAAAUCAGAUUGUCCCCCUCAAACCAAAGGCAGUUUUCAUGAAAAUGGACAUCGAGGGAUCGGAAUACAUAGUCCUGCCACAGAUGAUUCAGACAUCAACCCUUUGCAAAGAUAUCAUAACAUCAUUUGUGAUCGAAAUGCACGAGUGGGCUAAGAAACCUAUGGGGUCGACUCUAACAUUUGACGAUGUAAGAAAUAUGCUAGGGAAGCAAGGUUGCGUCCCUUCUGAAAUGGUAUCUGUCGACGACGAAAGUUAUUUGCAUGACGUCCCCAUAGACCCUAGUUGGUAACAAUCAAAAAAGAUUGUGCAUAUAGAUGUGUUACACAAUAAGUUGACUACCGUUUCAUUUGUUGUUGAUGUGGUUGUAUUUUAAUAAAGAACAGAACAGAACAGAAAUUUUAUUACGACUUGUACAUAGUACAUCGUCAGACAAAACCAUGUACAUGUAAUAAUAAACAUAUCGACGGGUCAUGUGAAAAGAAAGAGAUAAUACAGUUGUAAAAGUUGUACAUAGCAUCUAACAUAAUACAUGACAGUGGUGGGUAAACACAAAACAAUAUGAAAAGAAAGAGAUAAUACAGUUGUUAAAGUUGAACAUACUAUCUAACAUAGAACAUGACAGUGGUGGGUAAACACAAAACAAUUAAUACAGGAAACACUCGAUUUUUUCAAAGUGUGUGCAACAGAGCGGCAAACAGCUAUAAGCAUUUAUGGGAAAUAAACUUACAUCACCAAAUAAAGAGGCAAAUGAUUCCCACGAUUUAUUCGAAGACGUUUUAGGUUACUAACGACGUGUAAAUGGGCGUCAACGGAAAUAACCAUACAGUUUGUUUAUUGAUUUAUCUAGGAGCAGUUAAUAUUGAUGUCAUUAGUUUUUGUUACUUGUGAUUGUGUGAUUAGCCGGUGAUUUUCUCUUCUCCAAAAAUACAUCCUCCAAUAGACUAUUUCCCAAAUGCAAAAUGUAAAAGGGUCGUUUCCCAAUGGCAAAAAGUAACCUUUGCCCCAAAAAUCUUACCACAGUUAAAAAAAUAUGCCAAACUUUUCCAAUUGAAUAAACUUAAUAAAUUUGUUUAUCGAG